rnacentral:rRNA from 1 species
AGAGUUUGAUCAUGGCUCAGGACGAACGCUGGCGGCGUGCUUAACACAUGCAAGUCGAACGGAAAGGCCCUUCGGGGUACUCGAGUGGCGAACGGGUGAGUAACACGUGGGUGAUCUGCCCUGCACUUUGGGAUAAGCCUGGGAAACUGGGUCUAAUACCGAAUAGGACCACGCGCUUCAUGGUGUGUGGUGGAAAGCUUUUGCGGUGUGGGAUGGGCCCGCGGCCUAUCAGCUUGUUGGUGGGGUAAUGGCCUACCAAGGCGACGACGGGUAGCCGGCCUGAGAGGGUGACCGGCCACACUGGGACUGAGAUACGGCCCAGACUCCUACGGGAGGCAGCAGUGGGGAAUAUUGCACAAUGGGCGAAAGCCUGAUGCAGCGACGCCGCGUGAGGGAUGACGGCCUUCGGGUUGUAAACCUCUUUCAGUAGGGACGAAGCGAAAGUGACGGUACCUACAGAAGAAGGACCGGCCAACUACGUGCCAGCAGCCGCGGUAAUACGUAGGGUCCGAGCGUUGUCCGGAAUUACUGGGCGUAAAGAGCUCGUAGGUGGUUUGUCGCGUUGUUCGUGAAAACUCACAGCUUAACUGUGGGCGUGCGGGCGAUACGGGCAGACUAGAGUACUGCAGGGGAGACUGGAAUUCCUGGUGUAGCGGUGGAAUGCGCAGAUAUCAGGAGGAACACCGGUGGCGAAGGCGGGUCUCUGGGCAGUAACUGACGCUGAGGAGCGAAAGCGUGGGGAGCGAACAGGAUUAGAUACCCUGGUAGUCC